rnacentral:rRNA from 1 species
UACCAUGCAGUAUGACGCUGCCACUAUCGGUAAUCAUGAGUUCGAUCAUGGCUGGGACAAUACAUUGUUGCAACUGAGCCGAGCAAAAUUCCCUAUCGUGCAGGGCAAUAUUUUUUAUGAGGACAGCAGUAAAUCCUUCUGGGAUAAGCCGUACACCAUUGUUGAAAAAGAUGGCGUCAAGAUUGGCGUAAUCGGCUUACACGGUGUCUUUGCUUUUAAUGAUACGGUAUCCGCCGCGACGCGCGUGGGCAUUGAGGCACGCGAUGAGAUUAAGUGGCUGCAACGUUACAUUGAUGAACUUAAAGGUAAAGUCGAUCUGACCGUCGCGCUGAUCCACGAAGGCACCCCGGCCCGCCAGUCCAGCAUGGGGAAUACCGAUGUGCGACGCGCGCUGGAUAAAGAUAUUCAGACCGCAAGUCAGGUAAAAGGGCUGGAUAUUUUGAUUACCGGCCACGCGCAUGUCGGUACGCCGGAACCGAUUAAAGUCGGUAAUACGCUGAUUCUUUCAACGGACAGCGGCGGCAUUGAUGUCGGCAAAUUGGUGCUGGACUACCAGGAAAAGCCGCAUCAGUUUACCGUGAAGAACUUCGAGCUGAAGACCAUUUUUGCUGAUGAGUGGAAGCCAGAUCCGCAAACGAAACAGGUGAUCGACGGCUGGAACAAAAAGCUCGAUAAAGUCGUGCAGCAAACGGUGGCGCAGUCGCCGGUUGAGCUGACCCGCGCGUAUGGCGAAUCGUCGUCGCUGGGGAAUCUGGCGGCGGAUGCGCUGCUUUUUACGGCGGGGAAAGACACCCAGUUAGCGCUUACUAACUCUGGCGGUAUCCGCAACGAAAUCCCGGCUGGCGCGGUGACGAUGGGGGCGGUAAUCAGUACCUUCCCGUUCCCUAAUGAACUGGUCACGAUGGAUUUAACCGGUAAACAAUUGCGCAGCCUGAUGGAGCAUGGCGCUGGCUUAAGCAACGGCGUAUUGCAGGUGUCUAAAGGGCUGGAGAUGAAGUAUGACAGCAGCAAACCUGUCGGCCAGCGGGUUACCGUGCUGACGCUCAAUGGCAAGCCGAUUGAUGAUGCGGCGGUUUAUCACAUCGCUACCAACAGCUUCCUUGCCGACGGCGGCGACGGUUUUGCGGCAUUCACGGAAGGCCAGGCGCGGAAUACCUCCGGCGGCUACUAUGUGUCGAAUGCGAUAGUCGAUUACUUUAAGGCGGGCAACACCAUCACGGAUGAGCAGCUCAAAGGAAUGCGCGUUGCGGAUGUGAAGAAGUAAGGGGUUACUUGCCUGUGCGCAAUGGCCUUUAGCGCAUUCAGGCCGGACGGCGGUAUGUCUGGCCUGGAUCAUUCGUGGACCGCGGAUAUCAACCGUCUGGCGUAGCGCCUGCAAUUUUGCCGGGUUACGCGCUGUGUUCCCGGCAUGUUCCUGCUGAAAUUUACCCCUCUAUCCGGUGGUCUGCGUCCUGCGUAAAAAGUGGCGGGGUGCGGGGGAAACUUUCCCUGCGAAAAUCAUCGCAUGAUGAAUUUUCGGGGGAACCGCAUGAUAAACAACGAUCCGCUUUUUGAUCUGCUUAACAAAGAGCAACAGCGCCAGCAGCACUCGCUGGAACUGAUUGCCUCGGAGAAUUUCGCCAGCCCUGCCGUUCUUGCGGCACAAGGGUCGGUGUUAACCAAUAAAUACGCCGAAGGCUAUUACCAGCACCGCUACUACGGCGGCUGUAAGUUCAUUGAUGAGGUUGAGAUGCUGGCGAUAACCCGCGCGCAGCAACUUUUCGGCGCGCGUUACGUUAACGUGCAGCCUCACUCCGGCAGCCAGGCGAAUCAGGCGGUAUAUCUGGCGCUGCUGAAACCCGGCGACAAAAUUCUGGGCAUGAGCCUGCAAUGCGGCGGCCAUCUCACUCACGGUUCGCCGGUCAAUCAAUCCGGUAAAUGGUUUAACGCCUUUCAUUAUGGCGUCGAUGCGCAUAGCGGUCUUAUUGAUAUGGAUGAGGUUGAGACGAUCGCGAAGCGUGAGCGCCCGCGGCUGAUUAUCGCCGGGGGAUCGGCCUACCCACGACACUAUGAUUUUGCCCGCUUUCGCCGCAUUGCCGAUGCCGUCGGCGCGAUACUGCUGGUGGAUAUGGCGCAUUUUGCCGGGCUGGUGGCGGGCGGCUGUUUCCCCUCGCCGCUGGCGUAUGCCGAUGUGAUUACCACCACCACGCAUAAAACGUUGCGCGGGCCGCGUGGCGGCAUGAUUCUGGCCAACGACGCCCGGCUGGCGAAAAAAAUCGACAGCGCCAUCUUUCCCGGCUUGCAGGGCGGGCCGUUGAUGCACGUUAUCGCGGCUAAAGCGGUGGCGCUUGGCGAAGCGCUACAGCCUGAAUUUAAACGUUACGCCGGGCAGGUAAUCGAAAAUGCGCAAGCGAUGUGUCAGCAACUGGCGCAGCGCGGCCUGACGCUGUUAACGGGCGGUACCGACUGCCAUCUGGGCAUUAUCGACCUGCGCCCGCAGGGGUUAACCGGCGCCCAGGUGGAAUACUUUCUCGAACUGGCGGGGAUCACGGUCAAUAAAAACACGCUGCCAGGCGAUCCGCAGCCGCCGUCGAUUACCUCCGGGAUUCGCAUUGGCAGCGCAGCCUGCGCCACCCGCGGAAUGAAUGCCGAUGAUUUUACGCUGAUCGCGGACUGGAUCAGUGAAAUUAUUUUUGCCAUCAAGACGCCGAAUAUUACAGAUAUUUGCGCCGAUAUUCGGCAAAAAGUGACUAAAUUAACCACCAACUAUCCGUUGCCUUACCAAUGAUGAAACUUGCUGAAAUUCAGGCGGCGUGCGGCGUUCUUUGUGUAGAUCUCGCCGCUGUCGUUGACAAUUAUCAAACGCUGGCGCGCCAUGUCGCCCCCGCGCAAUGCGGCGCAGUACUGAAAGCCAAUGGCUAUGGU